rnacentral:rRNA from 1 species
AAAGCGCACCAAGGCUUAGACGUCUAGGCGGGUUGAGAGAUUGACCGCCAACACUGGGACUGAGACACUGCCCAGACUCCUACGGGAGGCUGCAGUCGAGAAUCUUUCGCAAUGGGCGAAAGCCUGACGAAGCGACGCCGUGUGAGCGAAGAAGGCCUUCGGGUUGUAAAGUUCUUUCGCCUAGGAGCAAGAGAAGUUGACUAAUAAUCAAUGGAUUUGAGAGUACUAGGUAGAGAAGCACCGGCUACUCCGUGCCAGCAGCUGCGGUAAUACGGUGGGUGCGAGCAUUAAUCGGAUUUAUUGGGCGUAAAGGGCGCGUAGGCGGAAGUAUAAGUCAGAUGUGAAAUCCCGGUGCUUAACACCGGAACUGCAUUUGAUACUGUAUUUCUAGAGGAUAGGUGGAGAAAGCGGAAUUCCGCAUGUAGCGGUGGAAUGCGUAGAUAUGCGGAGGAACGCCCGUGGCGAAGGCGGCUUUCUAACUUAUUCCUGACGCUAAGGCGCGAAAGCAGGGGGAGCGAACAGGAUUAGAUACCCUGGUAGUCCCUGCCGUAAACGAUGUAUACUUGGUGUAAUUGGACUCAAUCCCGAUUGUGCCGAAGCUAACGCGUUAAGUAUACCGCCUGGGGAGUACACUCGCAAGGGUGAAACUCAAAAGAAUUGACGGGGGCCCGCACAAGCAGUGGAGCAUGUGGUUUAAUUCGAUGCAACGCGCAGAACCUUACCCAGACUUGACAUGCUUAGGACCGCUUCAGAAAUGGAGCUUCCCUUCGGGGCCUUUGCACAGGUGCUGCAUGGCUGUCGUCAGCUCGUGCCGUGAGGUGUUGGGUUAAGUCCCGCAACGAGCGCAACCCUUAUCGUUAGUUGCCAUCACGUUAUGGUGGGGACUCUAACGAGACUGCCUGGGUUAACCAGGAGGAAGGUGGGGAUGAGGUCAAGUCAGCAUGGCCCUUAUGUCUGGGGCUACACACGUGCUACAAUGGUCGGUACAGAGGGUAGCGAAAUCGCGAGAUGGAGCAAAUCCCCAAAGCCGGCCUCAGUUCGGAUUGCAGCCUGCAACUCGACUGCAUGAAGUCGGAGUUGCUAGUAAUGGCGCGUCAGCUAUAGCGCCGUGAAUACGUUCCCGGGCCUUGUACACACCGCCCGUCACAUCAUGGAAGCUGGUUUUACCCGAAGUCGCUGACUUAACUACUUUGUAGGAAGAGGCGCCUAAGGUGAGGCUAGUGACUGGGAUGAAGUCGUAACAAGGUA